UGCCAGACUCCUACGGGAGGCAGCAGUGGGGGAUAUUGCACAAUGGGGGAAACCCUGAUGCAGCGACGCCGCGUGUGGGAAGACGGUCCUCUGGAUUGUAAACCACUGUCCCCAGGGACGAAGAUGACGGUACCUGGGGAGGAAGCUCCGACUAACUCCGUGCCAGCAGCCGCGGUAAUACGGAGGAUGCGAGCGUUAUCCGGAUUUAUUGGGUUUAAAGGGUGCGUAGGCGGAUCGUUAAGUCAGUGGUCAAAUUGGGGGCCUCACCCCCUCCCCGCCAUUGAAACUGGCGCUCUUGAGUGGAAGAGAAGUAUGCGGAAUGCGUGGUGUAGCGGUGAAAUGCAUAGAUAUCACGCAGAACCCCGAUUGCGAAGGCAGCAUGCCGGCUUCCGACUGGCGCUGAAGCACGAAAGCGUGGGGAUCGAACAGGAUUAGAUACCCUGGUA
rnacentral:rRNA from 1 species